rnacentral:rRNA from 1 species
CUGGUUGAUCCUGCCAGUAGUGAUAUGCUUGUCUCAAAGAUUAAGCCAUGCACGUGUCAGUAUAAGCUUUUAUACGGUGAAACUGCGAAUGGCUCAUUAAAUCAGUUAUAGUUUAUUUGAUGGUUCCUUUACUUGGAUAACCCGAGUAAUUCUCUGGCUAACAAAUGCAGAAGACCCUUUAUUGGGUUGUAUUUAUUAGAUCUUUACUAACUCUGUUGGUGAGUCAUAAUAAGAUAACAGAUCGCAUCGAGGUAACUCGGCGACGGAUCAUUCAAGUUUCUGCCCUAUCAACUUUCGAUGGUACGGUAUUGGCCUACCAUGGUGACCACGGGUAACGGGGGAUUAGGGUUCGAUUCCGGAGAGGGAGCCUGAGAAAUGGCUACCACUUCUAAGGAAGGCAGCAGGCGCGCAAAUUACCCAAUCCUGACAUAGGGAGGUAGUGACAAUACAUACUAAUGCGGGGCUUUGCCUUGCAAUUGGAAUGAGUACAACUUAAACCUGUUAACGAGAACCCAUUGGAGGGCAAGUCUGGU